AAAAGUGCUAUAUACAUAUGUGUGUAGGUUUGUGUAGAUAAAAGUCUUCAGCUCCUUUGGAUAAUUACUAUCAAACAUGAUGACUGGAUGGCAUGGUAAAGAUAUGUUUAGUUUUAUAGUAGACUGCCAAAUUAUUUUGCAAAGUGUCUGUGCUGCUUUAUAGUUCUACCAGUGAUGAGCGAGUGCUCCUGCUACUCUGUGUUCUUGCCAGCAUUUGACAUUGUCGUGAUGUGGAUUUUGGCCAAACUGAGAGAUGUAACACAUGUGAGAGAAGGUGUGAUAACACACUGUUGGAGAGCCAUCGGAGAUAUGUGCCGUAACAUCAAUCACUGUCACAAAGUUUUAGGUCACUAAUUAUUCAAGUUUAAAUGUAUUUCUGGAGUAGUGAAAUUGAGACGUGGAGCAAAGCCGAACUUUAUCCAACUGCUGAGUCACUUAUUUCAUUAAAGCUUUGUCAAAAACUGCCCACAAGUGUAACAAGGAGCCAGUGACACACAAUCUCUCAUCUCAAGGAGCUCCCAGUCUAGUAUGGGGAACAGAUCCCCGAGGAGGAAAAUCGUCUCUCAAGAUCACUUCUUGGUAAGUCCUUUUGAC